rnacentral:pre_miRNA from 1 species
GUUGAAAUGUGCUCAGCAUCAAUGACAGGUAUGUUUACCUGUGUGUGGAUGGUGUUCAGUGCCAAGGACAGACAUGUUUUCCU